rnacentral:lncRNA from 1 species
UGGUAUCUAAAAAGGUGAAUAAACACGCUAAAGCAUGUGCUGAUAACCAACAUGCAUUUGUCCCCUUCGCCUUCGACACCAAAUGUAACUUAGUGUGAAGCCAACAAAAGCCAGCUGGAGAGCACUGAAGGCUUAGAAAAGUGGCUAUAAAAGUUACCUAAUUAAAAAGGAGAAUUAUUCACAAUAAUUAGGGUUAUUCCCUAUAAAUAUAUUACAAAUGAAAAUCGAGUUUUAUCCCAUUUAUCUAUUU